rnacentral:lncRNA from 1 species
GUCAAGAAACAUAGCUCCUAUGGCUAAAAUAGAACAUAGGAGAAAAUGAUUUUUUUUUGCUUUUGAAGAAAAUAGGACGAUUCAAAGAACAUUUAAAUAAAUUGAAAAGCCAAAAUAAUCAUUGAUGAGAGAUUAAACCAAAAAAAUUCAGGUGAGCGAUUCAGGCUCUUGAGAGCCUCUUGUUGGAACUUGCAAUGCAACUAUA